rnacentral:tRNA from 1 species
GCCGGGGUGGUGGAAUUGUCAGACUCACAGGACUUAAAAUCCUGCGAUAGGUGACUACCGUGCCGGUUCAAGUCCGGCCCUCGGCA